rnacentral:rRNA from 1 species
UACGUAGGGUGCAAGCGUUAAUCGGAAUUACUGGGCGUAAAGCGUGCGCAGGCGGUUAUGCAAGACAGAUGUGAAAUCCCCGGGCUUAACCUGGGAACUGCAUUUGUGACUGCAUAGCUAGAGUAUGGUAGAGGGGGAUGGAAUUCCGCGUGUAGCAGUGAAAUGCGUAGAUAUGCGGAGGAACACCGAUGGCGAAGGCAGUCCCCUGGACCUGUACUGACGCUCAUGCACGAAAGCGUGGGGAGCAAACAGG